CCUGUGGCCGGUGUUACAGACUCGGUGUGUGCUGACUCUGUUGAGUGUGUGUGCGUAUUUUCGGCUCCUUCAACGUGUAGGUCUUUGCUGGCCUUAAUACGCAGCUACCGCAACUUGUAGGAGAUUUCCAUAGUUCCCCUGUAAUACUGACCUCCUCCGGAGUGGUGAACAGGCAGGCAGUCCCAAAUCUGUCACGUCAGGGCUAAACCUAAAAAUGUUAUAGUGGGUGGUCACUGGACCUUUUUUCUCUCUCUCUCCUUUACUUAGCCAUCGCAUAUAAAAUAUCAUGCUUGUAUACUGUAGUACACUUAUUUCGUCAGCUUUAUGUAUAAUUUAUCAAUUGUUCGUACAUAAUGAAAAUGUCAUUAAAUAACACACUUUUUAUGUCACAUAUUAGUGAAUAUAUUUAUUUAUUGAUGUUUUUUUAACUACAUCAACAAACAGUUUACCAAUUUCCGUCACUCUCAAGAAGUAAUGUUUUAGUAAUGUUUAGAUCAUCCGCUACAGACCUUUUGGUCGGAAUUAAUUGAGUGGGGAGGGGAGAAAUUUUGUUUUUGGAGGUUUGUAGGUGGGUGGUCACCCACCCAGUUAACUCGUUACCUAGAGGCCUGUUUGAAUCUGCCUUGACAGCCGGUGAGGAGGAGGAGGAGGAGGAGAAGAAGGAGGAGGAUGCUAUAAUUGCGAAAUCUAGUACAUGCUAUCUGAGGUCGCUUUUGUGCAGGAAUGAUGACGAAGUUGAGUGUCAUUCAAAUGGAUGAUUAUUAUGAGAGGGCAAAAAUAACUAAGAUAUCUAAAUGAUAGCCUAUAUGUAAUCUUCGAAAGGGAGAUUUUUUUUUUUUUACCAAUCAAUAUGACGCAAAAACGACCUUUUCUAUGAUAAAUCUCAUCAUUGUUUGAAGGAAUCGGUUUUAGCGUCAUUUUUGCUGUAAACAUUACCGUCACUAGAUUCGCUAUGCAUAGUAUACUAUAUGUCAAUGUGUGAAUAUGGAAGUAGGAAUAGACUAAAAGACUUAGACAGGACUGGUCUGAACUUUUUGACCACCUGAAGCCUAAAUAUGCCAGCUGACGUCGAGGUUAAAUGCUAUUCAACAUUCAUAGCAGGAGUCGACGACUGAACUUGAGUUGCUUCCAUUCUUCCACAUCAUCGUCUCCAAUCUUUGGACCACCAGGCAAGCGAAUCCCUAUUCGCCUCAGAGGCGGAGCAGAAGGAACAGUCAGCGACCGAAGUAGGAGCGUUAUGUCAGCAGGAGAACCUGAGGAAAGACAAAAAUAGCAGGGUUUACUGAAGAAGUGACAGGACUCCUACUUCUCUAAAGAAAUGGAGACUAACUGCAGCUGACUGGAUUCGACUAUUGUCGUGCUUGACUUGAUUUAUGAAGUAGAGCCUUGAGAAUAAGGUGAAAAGGAUUUUCCGACACCUGGAAAGAAACUUAGAUUUUGCUCCUUACGAUUUCUUUCGCCUGAGAAGAGGAUGUCUCCUUCCUUGUGAAACUUUUCAAAGCAAUGCCAUUUCCAUCAGCCGGCUUGAAAAUCUUUAUUUCAAACCUCGAAUGCUUACCCUCAAGUCCUUCCAUUAUAUAAAGUAAAGAUUCAUCUAAAGUUAGAUUCCCUGAAGGAGGGUAUAUAUCUGUCCUGCAGGCUUGGGAAAGCUUCUCUUUUCGGAAUGAUGCUACGAUGAAUAUUCAAGACUGAUUAAAAAAGGCGCUCCUAAGAGUUUUAGGUUUAAGUACUUUUCUGUUGAAGAUGAACGUGAGUGUUAAGCUGGUACUACUAUCCAGUGAUUUUUUAAAACUGAUAAUCUAGUAAAUUCAGUAGAUUACCGUCGUACUUAAUGUUUCGUACAAAUGCAAUGGUUUGUAUAAAUCUGAUGGUUUGUAUAAAACUGGUCUAUGAGUGACUGUUUAAACAGUUAACUUUCAUUUGUAAGCCAUAUAUUGUGCUUUUACGGUUACUGAAUUUAUUAGCUUAAUCCACUCUGGUUUUAGUUACUUCUCGCCCUAAUACUGAGAUUUUAAAAGUUGUUUGGAAUAUUAGUUUGGUCAGUUUGUAUGAUGUAACUUUUGUAUUUAGUUUAGGUCAGUUUGAUUUUUAUAGAAAACUGUAGAAUGAUUACUUGUGGAUUAGAGUUUCUGGUUUUUCAAAGCUCCCAUUUCAUUUUUAGUUUUGGAUCAUGAAACCUAUUAAAAUCCACUGUUAUACCUUUUUAGAUAUUUGGUACAUGUUAGUAUUUUGAAGGAGGUUUGAUGUUUUAUGCAUUUUGUAAUUCGAAAAGAUUUUGCAUGAAAGAAAACUUACUAAAUGAGCGACAGUGUACGUUAACUUUAAUUUUUUUUUGUUCUUUGUAUUAAGGUUUGCUUUUAAUUUAGUUUUAUCCAAUGUUUUUCCUGUUACUUUUUAUGACUUACAGGUGACCUUGUUCUGAGGGGUUUAAAAUGGCGGACUGGAGGAUUUGGACUAAUUGUAUGAUUAGUUCAUGAAAUACUCCUUAUUUCAUGUUACAAAAGUGAGGCUUUCCUAAUUUCAGUUUUGAAGUCUGAUAAAACAGGUUUUGAGAAUAAAUCCUAUUUUGAAAAUAAAUCAUUCGGUUACCAUAGAUUCAUGACUAAGAAAAGAUUCCAGUGUGUGAACCACCCUGUAAUUACCUAUGUUUGUAACCACACAAAAUUGGCCCUGAUUGUCAAAAAAAGGUACAUAAGAUAUUGAAUGUUUUUUUUUUUAUUUUUUUUUAAGAUCAAGGAUAUACGAUUUUUAGAUAUUUGCCUUGGUAGUUCUAAUUUGGAUUAGUAUUGCAUAUCAAAUUGUUAACGAAUAUAAAGGAAAUUGACUGUGACUAUAUUUUGAAAUUUCAUCCCGUAGCAUUCAGUGUUCUGAUGGUAAAGAGGUUAGAAGUCUUGGCAAUUGGCCGUUUGUGUGACCCUGACAAGAUCUUAGAUAUGCGUUGGUUAACAAAAAUGGGAUUGGUAACCUGGGUAGUCCCUUGUACAAUACAGCAUCAAUAUAAGAAAUAACUUAGAAUCUCGAUUAAAAAGAUGCCCUGCAGUAAGUGGUGGUUUUAGAAAUGGUUAAACUGAGUUCGAUGAUAGGGUUUGCUUUGGUUGGAUGUUUGGUGAUAAGUGACCCAGGUUGGAUCAAUAAUUAUAAUGCAGUUAGUGUAAAUACAUAUUUGAGUUGUAAAUGUAACUUUGGAUAAAGAGUGAAAGUGUAAGAUUGGGGUUUUUAAAAAAACAAAAACUAACGCAUUCAAAGAUAAUGCUAGUUUUAAAUUGUCUAAUUACAAUCCAGCAAUUAAUGGGAAUGUGAACUCAACACUGGUUAUUGAGGAAAAGACGUUGAAACACUGUAUUCAGGAUAUUUGGGAAAAAUGUUUGGGAAAUAUAAAUAUGUGCUUUCAAGCAGGUGAUAAUGGCAGGAAACACCAAGGAACCAGCGAUUGACGUAAUUUUUUACAGAUGGGAUGAGCAAUUAAAAUAAGUGAGCGGUAAAGAUUGCAUGCACCAAUUGGUAUUUAAGUUUCAAAAGAUCAAAGUAAAGUUGCCUGAAAUUUUUGUUAAAAUGCCUAAUUGAUGUCCGUUGUAAGGUAAAUAUGGUAUUAACAUUAUUUGAGUUUGUAACAGCCCUGUGUGGCUUCUUGGUCGUUUUACCUUCCCUGUUGUUUUGUUUGUGUAGCACAGCAGCGAGUCAAUACAACAGCUUGACAGGGACAGGUGUUGGUCGCCUGGUAGUCGCUGCAGAUCGAAUUGGAGAUCGUUCUGAGUCGAGAGUGAGGUCAUCAGCUGAAUCUUCAAUAUGGAGUUGUUGAUGAGAGCACCAGUUGAACCUUCAGUAUGGAGUUGUUGCUAGGAGGAUGGUUAAACCAUAAUCAUCUUCGGAAGAUUCGUCCUUGGAGCAAUGGAGGUUGUGCUAGUGGAUUUUGAACAUUCAUGUUAUUUACGUGUUGAGCAUUUGUGGCUCUAGUGUUGGGCCAGUAUGUGGCCCUGAUAUUUUGAAUAUUCAUCAUUUUGAUAGGUAUUGAGCAGAUGUAUGGCUCUAGUGUAGGGCAAGUAUGUCGCUCAGGUAUUUUGAUAGUGACAGUUUGGAUUAUGAUAUGGCUUAUGCUGAUUUUGGGCAAUUGUAUGGCCCAGGUUGACUAUGUACAUCUUUCAUAUCAUUAAUUUAUUGCUGCUGUAUUAUUCAUUUUCAUUAUUCUUGACUGCACUCUUAACUCACUGUAAAUAUGUCGUAUAUGGAUAUGUAAAGGACUUAGAAUUAAUAGAUAUAAGGUAUUUUA